GGGGUGACACUUCGGUUCUUCCGGAGCUGGAACCUCGAGCUUGGAGCUGAAACCUCGAACUCGGAGCCAGCACCGCGCUGGAACCGUGUCUGGAACUUUGAUUAAAAAGUAGCCGAUUUUUGGAAAUCAAUUUAGCGUGCACCGCACAAGAGCUGUCACUGUCAGCCAAAAAAAUCAAAACAAAACCCAACCCGUUUUUUCAUGCGAAGAUUGCACGCGUUUUUUUUUCGGACCACCUGGAUUCCUGGCCGUCGGAUCCCAGCUGCUGACGACGUCGACCCCUGGUGUUUCCUGUGCUGCAAGGGUGGAAGUCUCAUCUGCUGUGAAAUCGAAUCCGGCCGUAUGCCGCUGUGCGACGAGAUCGUCAGGGCUAAAUAUUCCGUGUUCAAGUUCUGGCCCGCUAUUGCGAUUCCCCCGUCAAUGGUUCUGGGUGUGGUGUUCCGGCGGCAGCACGAACAAACGGACAUUUGCUUGCGCUUCAGGCAGAACAAGCUCACUCCCAGGAAUCGGUCCCGGACGAUUUUAGCUUUAAACUGUCGAUAUACGUGAAAGUCAAGUUCAACAAGUAGGUUGCUCCGCUGAGAGGGCGCAACGCGGCCAGAUACGAGGAGGAGGAGGGCCCAAAGGCAACAUGGCCCGGUUCUUCAACCACUCGUGCGAGCCCAACUGUGAGACGCUGCUGUGGAAGGUCGGCGGAAGCCAAUCCGUGGGGCUGUUUGCCCUCAAGGACCUCAAGGUGGGCCUUCAACUACAACUUUGAGACGUUCGGCGACCAUAAGAAGAUCUGCUACUGUGGUGCGGGCAAGUGUUCCGGGCUGAUCGUCAGCCAAGUCAUCCAAAAAAGGGGAAUUUUCUUACAAAUUUCCCAUUUGCUCGAGCUUGGGAGUUUAUGUGAGCUGCACGUUAUGGUUUUUAAAUUCUUUUUUUUUUUUGUAUAAUCCAUGUUCCAUGUUCUUUACAAUUCUAUAAUAAAAUAUGAUAAGGGGUGAGGGGGAACGUUGGUCUAAGAUGACACUAUUUCGCAAUGGUGCUGACUCGGAAACCUCGCCUUGGGCAACACCUGGCAGGAGCGCGUGCAUCACGAAUCGUUUGAGUUUCUCCUCCUGCAUCUGCAGGAUCUGUUUUGUUCUGAAUGCUGGUAGAUCGAGUUGGAGUGGCAGAUCAAGAAGGCGAUCGUGGCGCAGCUGAAUUACUACAGGAACAAGCGGAUUGGGGUGGAGUUUGGACAAGGCGCUUGACGGGAUGACACAUGAGUUUUAAGCGGGUCGCACGUUCAUUUCGAGAUGGUCAUCAAACUGAUUGACAUCCUGUGCCACGACUGCACGACGAAAUCUGCAGACCACGAUGCUGACCACGUCCAUGACAUGCUGUUGGACAUGAACUCGCUGGCCAGAGUGAUUCAGUUCAUCUAGGAGCGCGGCUAUUUGGCGCACCUUAUCGACUGCUUGCUGAAGGUCACUUGAUGCACUUGUCGUCCGACUUGAGAAAGAGGUGUAAAGGUGGACAUGAUUUAGCGUAGAAGUAAAUGAGCAGCAAAAUGUAAAUCAAACAAAUGAUAAUAUCACAUUUCUUAGAAAACCAGUGACCAAAACUGCAUCUUCUCUCAGAGUUUGAAUAUCUUCAAGCAUCUUUUUUGAUAUGUAUAUGGGUAUAAAUAUUUCAAAAAUUGUAACUUAAUAAAGAUAAUUUCUUAAAUUUA